UACGAAUUCGGGGGUUAUAUAACCCAAAUGCAUUUGAGUUUUGCUUAGGUUUAUUGAUCACUGUGAACUGAAGGGGAAGUUGGUUCACAUCGAGGAAUACGGAUGAGAACGUGGACGACUGGUGAGUGACCGAGAGAAAUAAGAGAUCGAGUCAGGGCGUUCAGGCUAUUUAAAGGGGAUUUAGAUACUCCUACAUCUGGUGAGCCUUCCCGGAAUAUAAAGUACAAAACAUCAUAAAAGUGUACAUCCAUAUAAGGUACUUCUACAUCUGGUGAGCCUUCCCGGAAUAUAAACUACACAACAUCAUAAAAGAGUACAUCCAAGUAUUAUGGACAUUUCCUCUAAUAAGCGUUACAGUACACAGUAAAAUAUAAUUCUAGGAAUUUUCGUGGGGCAAUACUUCUCAAAAAUUGGAAGCUAAAUGUUCGAGAUCACAGAUGCACUGUAACUCUGUUUGGUGAAAUUUAAAAUAAUAAAUUCAUUGACUAGUUGUUUUGUAUAUUAUUAAAUAAACUAAUUAUUUAUAAAAACACACGUAUUAAAUUCCUUUAAAAGUCAAGAGAAUAUUGUUUUCCCAUUUUUUAUGUGUUUAUCCUUUUUAGGUCUACCCCCUAUGUCGUGCAAAAAAUGCGGCAUGUGUUACCGUCAACCCAUGUCCUACAUGAAGCAUAUCAGUUUGUGUGGAAAGGAGCCCGCUUUUAAAUGUACGCUUUGUUCCUACAAAGGCAAAGAACAAUUUCAUUUACAAACUCACAUGAGAUACAAACACAAAAUUAUAAUUUGAAUGUGAAUAAUAAAAUUAUUUAUCAUUUUAUUUUUAUUAUUUGUUUCUCACCUGCCUCCAUUCUUUUUUAACAUAACAAUAUGUAUAUCCCACCUCUUAAAUAAGUCACUAACAUAAUAUAACUUUUUAGCCUUCUACUGCAUAUGUGGCAACAGAUACAAAUCCAAAACGUCGCUUAAAAGGCACAUCAGAUAUGAUUGUGGUAAGGAACCACUUUUCAAAUGUGCAGAGAAAGACUGCCUAUACAAAGCGUAUCAAAAGGUCCAUCUCAAAAGACAUUUGGAAAAAAUACAUAACAAACCAGCGGAGUCUAAUCAUUUAAUUAACACAGUUAAUAGAUUUAUAAUAGGGAAAUGUACCCUAUAAACUGUAAAGAAUCUAUGAUAUUAACUACAGAUUUGAUUUUUGUUUCUGAUACGUUGGUUAAAAGUGAAGAAAUAAAAACUCUCUGAUGAACAUAUGAGUUGAACUUUUUAGACUUCUACUGCAUAUGUGACAACAGAUACAAAUCCAAAACGUCGCUUAAAAGGCUCAUCAGAUAUGAUUAUGAAAUGGAACCACUUUUCAAAUGUGUAAAGAAAGACAUUUGAAAGGAAUACAUAAGAAAUCAGCUGAGUCUAAUCAUUUAACUAACACAGUUAAUAGAUUUAUGAUUGAGAAAUGUACCCUAUAAACUGCAAAGAAUAAGAAUUUUUUAUGACAUUAAUUUAUAUUACCGGCGACACGACACCAGUCUUUGUUUCUGAUACAUUGGUUGAAAAUGAAGAAGCAAAACUUUCUGAGUAAUAUAUGUGUUGACAAUUUGAACAAUUGUUAAAAUAUACUUUCACUUAACAACCAUAGAGGUAUAAUUAAUUAAAUAAUUCACCAUUUUGGAAGAUAUUUUUUUGGAUCAAUUCAAUAUAGUUUCAAUAUAAUAAAAAACGAAAUAUUUAUUUAUUUAUUGUCGUCCCAAAUGUCGGUAACUCAACUUUUAAUUAAAUAAUAAAUAAUUAUUUACUGACACACAGAACUUCUUUAAUUUAUUUGAGUUAUUGUAAUAAACAAUAUAAAUAAGUGAAAUACAAAUAUUUACAAAGUAAAUGGGCAUUUUUAUUCGAUUUCCCAAACUUACUGUACCUUAUCGUGCUGGCAAUGAUUGUGUAUACUUGAAAUACAUUAUUUUCAGAUGCCACAAAAUGUCCAAGAUGCUGGAAACAGUACAAAAACAUUAAAACUAUGAAAGUGCAUUUGGCAUUUGAUUGCGGAAAAAACAAGCAAUACACAUGUAUGUUGUGCAAUUACAAAUGUAAGCGAAAAUUCAAUCUGAAAGUGCACUCGAAAGUGCACAACAAAAGUCAAGAAUGAUCGAAUAAAUAAAAAUGUCGCAUGGAAAUGUGUUUUAUUAUGCAUGUUUUUGAUAUGUUCGUUUAUGUUGUGUUCGUGUAGGUAUUAUAGUGAAGAAUUGUUAUUCACCGACACUGCCCAAGGUGGAGAUGAAAGUGACCCCGAAUUUUGCAAACCACCAACAAAAAUUUAAAUGUCUGUCGAAAAAUUGUUUUUUCGUGACUGAGUGUAGAGAAGAAUUAAUCAAACAUUUACUGUACCAUUAAGGAAACACUUCGUGACAAGUUGACCAAAGUUUUUCUAGUGUUUGAUAUAAGUAGGUGUAAUAAAUUUUAGUUAUACAAUAGCUUAGGUUUAACUUUUCCAACUCAAUUAUUCUUUUGAACCAUUUAUGCGCGACUGACACAUAUAGAGUUAAUUUUAGGUAUACGAAACUAAAAUAUAGUCAAAAAAUUAAUUAUAAAUUAUGCAUUGUAAAAUUUUAAGCACAUUUCCACUUUGUUAUCUACCUCUCUGUAUAACUGACUGUAAGAAUUGUAUAAAAUGAUUGUGAACUUAGAAACUGAAUGUUGCAUGUGUUCAUUGUAAUUGACUAGUGAUUGUCAUCGAGUGCAAUAACGUGGUACCUAAUUUUAUCAUACACUUAUAAUAAGAGGAACAAUUACUUUGUAUUAAAUGCACUUUUAUUGUUUCUGCAUCAAGUAGAAUUUACAAUAAUUAUAGGCUUGAUAAUAAAUUAAACAUGUACAUACUUUUUGAUUGUGAUGAAUGUCAAAACAAUGAGUUUUAUAAUAAAUGUAUUUUUAAUA